GAUGAACGCUUAGCGACAGGCUUAACACAUGCAAGUCGAGGGGAAACGACAUCGAAAGCUUGCUUUUGAUGGGCGUCGACCGGCGCACGGGUGAGUAACGCGUAUCCAACCUGCCCACCACUUGGGGAUAACCUUGCGAAAGUAAGACUAAUACCCGAUGAUAUCUCUAGACGACAUCUGAAAGGGAUUAAAGAUUUAUCGGUGAUGGAUGGGGAUGCGUCUGAUUAGCUUGUUGGCGGGGUAACGGCCCACCAAGGCGACGAUCAGUAGGGGUUCUGAGAGGAAGGUCCCCCACAUUGGAACUGAGACACGGUCCAAACUCCUACGGGAGGCAGCAGUGAGGAAUAUUGGUCAAUGGGCGAGAGCCUGAACCAGCCAAGUAGCGUGCAGGAUGACGGCCCUAUGGGUUGUAAACCUCUUUUGUUUGGGAAUAAAGUGCGGGACGUGUCCCGCAUUGCAUGUACCAUUUGAAUAAGGACCGGCUAAUUCCGUG
rnacentral:rRNA from 1 species